UACGUAGGGCGCAAGCGUUGUCCGGAAUGACUGGGCGUAAAGGGCGCGUAGGCGGCUCAUACAGUCAGAUGUGAAAUUCCUGGGCUUAACCUGGGGGCUGCAUUUGAUACGUGUGGGCUUGAGUGGGGAAGAGGGUCGUGGAAUUCCCAGUGUAGAGGUGAAAUUCGUAGAUAUUGGGAAGAACACCGGUGGCGAAGGCGGCGACCUGGUCCUUGACUGACGCUGAGGCGCGAAAGCGUGGGGAGCAAACAGG
rnacentral:rRNA from 1 species